GAAGAAAAUUAGAAGAACAAUUCCGGUGCGAGUAGCGGCUUAAAGGAUUUUCUUCAUCUCCCACCAAACCUUCAUAGCGAGUAGCGGCUUAAAGGAUUCACUGCAAUCACCGAAGUGCCAACUUUGUCAGUGAUGGAAAUAUGGCGUCAUUUCACUCGGAGAAAUGUUGAAGAACCCUCUUGCAAUUACUGUGGAAGGACUUAUAGGGCUAACAUGUCCAGAAAUGGAACUUCUGCCUUGUGGAAUGCUUAGAAGUUGCAAUAAUGCUUAGAAGU